rnacentral:rRNA from 1 species
UACGUAGGGAGCAAGCGUUGUUCGGAUUUACUGGGCGUAAAGGGCGCGUAGGCGGCGCGGUAAGUCACUUGUGAAAUCUCUGAGCUUAACUCAGAACGGCCAAGUGAUACUGCAGUGCUAGAGUGCAGAAAGGGCAAUCGGAAUUCUUGGUGUAGCGGUGAAAUGCGCAGAUAUCAGGAAGAACACCAAUUGCGAAGGCAGCUCGCUGGGACGUUACUGACGCUGAGACGCGAAAGCGUGGGGAGCAAACAGG